CCUGCGGGGGCAGCAGUGGGGAAUAUUGGACAAUGGGCGAAAGCCUGAUCCAGCCAUGCCGCGUGUGUGAAGAAGGCCUUCGGGUUGUAAAGCACUUUCAGUGGGGAAGAAAGCCUUGGGGCUAAUACCCUCGAGGAAGGACAUCACCCACAGAAGAAGCACCGGCUAACUCCGUGCCAGCAGCCGCGGUAAUACGGAGGGUGCGAGCGUUAAUCGGAAUUACUGGGCGUAAAGCGCGCGUAGGCGGUCUGAUAAGCCGGUUGUGAAAGCCCCGGGCUCAACCUGGGAACGGCAUCCGGAACUGUCAGGCUAGAGUGCAGGAGAGGAAGGUAGAAUUCCCGGUGUAGCGGUGAAAUGCGUAGAGAUCGGGAGGAAUACCAGUGGCGAAGGCGGCCUUCUGGACUGACACUGACGCUGAGGUGCGAAAGCGUGGGUAGCAAACAGGAUUAGAUACCCGAGUAGUC
rnacentral:rRNA from 1 species